rfam:Metarhizium anisopliae BRIP 53293 unplaced genomic scaffold Scaffold_14, whole genome shotgun sequence.
GGCACUUUGGCCGAGUGGUCUAAGGCGCCGUGUUCAGGUUGAGUCGAUUCGUUCGACUGGGCUUAUUCGCGGUCUAGUAAUAGGCGAGGGUUCGAAUCCCUCAGGUGUCA